rnacentral:rRNA from 1 species
AAACUGUGGUUAAGGAACUCGGCAAAUUACCCCCGUAACUUCGGGAGAAGGGGGGCCACAGACUGUCAUACCCCACGCGGGUGGCAGCAGUAGGUGGCCGCAGAGACCAGGGGGAAGCGACUGUUUACUAAAAACACAGGUCCGUGCGAAGUCGUAAGACGAUGUAUACGGACUGACGCCUGCCCGGUGCUGGAACGUUAAGGGGACCGGUUAGUCCGCAAGGGCGAAGCUGAGAACUUAAGCGCCAGUAAACGGCGGUGGUAACUAUAACCAUCCUAAGGUAGCGAAAUUCCUUGUCGGGUAAGUUCCGACCUGCACGAAUGGCGUAACGACUUCCCUACUGUCUCAACCACAGGCCCGGCGAAAUUGCACUACGAGUAAAGAUGCUCGUUACGCGCGGAAGGACGGAAAGACCCCGGGACCUUCACUAUAGCUUGACAUUGGUAUCCGAAUUUAAUUGUGUAGGAUAGGUGGGAGGCUUUGAUCCGCGGACGCCAGUCCGUCGGGGAGCCAACGUUGAAAUACCACUCUGUUGACUUUGGGUAUCUAACUUCGGACCGUGAUCCGGUUCAGGGACAGUGUCUGGUGGGUAGUUUAACUGGGGCGGUUGCCUCCUAAAAUGUAACGGAGGCGCCCAAAGGUUCCCUCAGCCUGGUUGGCAAUCAGGUGUUGAGUGCAAGUGCACAAGGGAGCUUGACUGUGAGACUGACAGGUCGAGCAGGGACGAAAGUCGGGACUAGUGAUCCGGCACCUGCGAGUGGAAGCGGUGUCGCUCAACGGAUAAAAGGUACCCCGGGGAUAACAGGCUGAUCUUCCCCAAGAGUCCAUAUCGACGGGAUGGUUUGGCACCUCGAUGUCGGCUCGUCGCAUCCUGGGGCUGGAGUAGGUCCCAAGGGUUGGGCUGUUCGCCCAUUAAAGCGGCACGCGAGCUGGGUUUAGAACGUCGUGAGACAGUUCGGUCCCUAUCCUCCGCGCGCGUAGGAGACUUGAGAAGAGCUGUCCCUAGUACGAGAGGACCGGGACGGACGAACCUCUGGUGUGCCAGUUGUCAUGCCAAUGGCACGGCUGGUUAGCUACGUUCGGAAGGGAUAACCGCUGAAAGCAUCUAAGCGGGAAGCUCGCUUCAAGAUGAGGUCUCCCACCCCUUAGAGGGUUAAGGCCCCCAGCUAGACCACUGGGUUGAUAGGCCAGAAGUGUAAGCCUGGUAACAGGUUCAGCCGACUGGUACUAAUAGGCCGAGGACUUCACCG